GGUUAGCUCAGUUGGUAGAGCAGCAGACCGAUAAUCUGUUGGUCGCAGGUUCGAAUCCUGCACCUGGUACCA
rnacentral:tRNA from 1 species